CGCUCCUGGGUAAGUAUGUCCGGGCCCGGGGAAUCACGCGAGCCCGCCACGUGGCUUCGGGGUGUCCACGGCUCCCGCCAGGAUGCAGGUCCCUGCCCGCUGUGCGCCCCUACGGCGACCUAGUCCGGGGCGCGGGAUCCCUACUCGGUCCCCUCCGAGGUGGAGACAGCUGGGAGGGCGCCCGGCUCUUGUAACACCCAGUCUCCCGCCUGCCCAGUAGUUCUGGGGACAGGGACGUAGCCUAGGAAGCAAAUGGGAUUAGACAUCUAAAGCGCUCCAAGUUUCCCAGCGCAGCAAGAUAAUUCCGGGGUUAGCACCGUGCUGAGGUAAUUUCGCCUACACAGCCGCUUCCCUUCCACGAGUGCCCUUCAAAUACACUCUGAUCAACCAGCGGCUGGGUUUUUUAAAGGUUAGACGUUGUCUUGCGAAAGUCAUCCCUCCUUGUGCCCCGGUUUUGUCCCCCUCGUGUUAUGUUGAGCCCACCCUGUUUCGGACACUUCAGGGAAUGGGGCCUGCCUCGGUUUUGUGUCGGGGGUGCGGCGUUCCCUAAGCUCUUGGACUUGUACGUGGGCGUUACAUACCAGGAAGUUUGACCCAGAGCAGAUGACAAGAGUCACUGUCUAGGGACUGUGGACCUGAGAAGUUCUAGGACUAGAAGGGCCUUUAAACCAGUAAAAAGUAGUGUUUCAUCCUUCCCCAGGAAACUAUUUUAGCCAGUAAUUUAGUUUCUAAAAACUUGCUACUAUUCUAUGCUAGUGGUAGUGUUCAGCUGCAAAGAUGGAAAGGGGGGAGGGGGACACGACAAAAUGAAUUCCCACAAAACAAGAAACUGAGUUGGCGUCAUUUUCCUCAUAACUCGUAACUGAAAGUUACGAAAGAAUCCCAAGUACCAGAAACUUGAAGGUCACAGGAGGCACAACUUUUGUCAUCAAAUGUAGCUAGCAACCACAAGAAAAGGCACUUUUAAAACAACAAAGCUACAGCCUGGUAUUCCUAACAUUGUUGACUUUAUUUAAUCAGGUGCAGUUGUAUCAGAUGCUGAUGAACAUAAGGUAUGAACGAAGGGAAAGAAUAUGACUUGCACAGGCAUAAUUCCAGGAGCAAUUCUUGGCCAAGGAUGAGAAAUCUAACCUGAUGCCUCUGCUGUGAUGGGUUAAAGGAUUUACCUGAGGCCAAAAUCUGGAAGUGUUGAUGCAGCUUUCAAGAAGAAAAGGUGUAUGUAAUUGUGUAUAGAAUCAAAAUUUUGGAUUUCCUUAUUUUCAUGGUAGGGCAAGGGUAGGUUUUGAGGCAGUCCCAAUUGCAUAUAUAGAACAUGUAUGGGAAUUUUGUGCCUUUGCCCUGUGACUGAGUUGGCCCUUAAGUUCUAUAGAAUUCAGCUCCAUUAUUUAUAAAAUGCAGCUCCAAUAUUUCAAGACAUUUUCUGUGAGCCAGCUCUAGCCUGAAAUUGCCACAAUAACGCCAAAGAUUAUCUUUAACCUUGUCUCAUGCUCUACAAAGGUGACCAAGAUCUAGUUCAAGAUCAGUUUUUAUAAUUAAUUUUUGCAAAAAAUCAUGUAAAAUUUCAUUCUUUGGAUCAUAUAUUUUAUGACCAUUGAGGCGUAUGUAUGCCAUGGUGAUUUAUCUCAACCAAGUACAAUAUCUGCACUUCUAUGGUAAAAUUUGAAGCUGCCUUCAUUUUGUUGGUAUACUAAGAAAACUAACUUGUAGAAAUUUCAUUUUUAGAGCUUGGUUUUGGGCUAUUUUGCAUUCAUCCACAUUUUCCUACAAUAUAUCAUUUAGUGAUUAGAUUUGCUCCUUUUGACAGAAAGAUCAUUGAUCAUUGAUGGCAUAGGGGCAUGAGGGACCUGAGGACUGAUCUCUUGAUUAUGGUGGUGGCUGCAUGACUCCAUUUGUAAAUCUCCCACCUAACCCCCAGUUUUACCGCAUGUAAACUCAUACUUCAAUAAACUUGACCAAACACUUU